UUGAAAAGGUAGGUUUUCCUUCUAUUAUUACAGGCUUUGUGGUUAACCAUAGAGGAAACCCACCAUUUCAG
rfam:Myotis brandtii contig274941, whole genome shotgun sequence.